rnacentral:lncRNA from 1 species
UUCUAUCUUCUGCUUUAUUUUCUGUUUUCGGUUUCUGACUUUUGUUUUCUGUUCUCUGUAAUAAAGUUUAUCUUUCUUGUUUUCUGUCAUAGUCUGAAUAUUGUACAGUAUGCUUUUUCUGUAAUCUGUAAUAGUUUGAUUAUUGUAACAAUGGGCUUAAAGUGUGAUUUUCUGUAAUAGUGGGAUUGUAAAUGUUACAAGUCAUCAAUAAAAGUUUAUUAUGAAAAUUUUAUUAUGCAAUUCAAAAUACUGUUUAGUAUAAAAGUUAGAGAAUUUACAUAUGCUCAAUGGUUAGUAAUAGAUAUUUCUGUGAUUCCCUUUAUCUGUUUCAUAUUAUUUGUACUUAAUUAUUAUAGGAUCUUGCAAGCAUUACUUAAAUAUAAUAAUAUUGUAUUUACCUACUUAUUGUAAUAAAUAAAUUACAUAUUCACUAUCA